rnacentral:misc_RNA from 1 species
AAGGAGUCUAACAUGCUUGCGAGUAUUUGGGUGUCAAACCCGGAUGCGUAAUGAAAGUGAAUGGAGGUGGGAAGCGCAAGCUGCACCAUCGACCGAUCUGGAUUUUCUAAGAUGGAUUUGAGUAAGAGCACGUAUGUUGGGACCCGAAAGAUGGUGAACUAUGCCUGAAUAGGGCGAAGCCAGAGGAAACUCUGGUGGAGGCUCGUAGCGGUUCUGACGUGCAAAUCGAUCGUCAAACUUGGGUAUAGGGGCGAAAGACUAAUCGAACCAUCUAGUAGCUGGUUCCUGC